rnacentral:sRNA from 1 species
GCGUCGAUCCGCAUGAGCACCUCCAGGGGUCGUUUGAAAAGUC